rnacentral:rRNA from 1 species
GUCCACGCCGUAAACGAUGGACACUAGGCGUCGGGGGGAGCGACCCUCCCGGUGCCGUCGCUAACGCAGUAAGUGUCCCGCCUGGGGAGUACGGCCGCAAGGCUGAAACUCAAAGGAAUUGACGGGGGCCCGCACAAGCGGUGGAGCAUGUGGUUUAAUUCGAAGCAACGCGAAGAACCUUACCUGGGCUUGACAUGCUGGUGAAAGCCGGUGGAAACAUCGGCCCCUCUUCGGAGCGCCAGCACAGGUGCUGCAUGGCUGUCGU